rnacentral:rRNA from 1 species
CCUACGGGUGGCAGCAGUGAGGAAUAUUGGUCAAUGGGCGGAAGCCUGAACCAGCCAAGUCGCGUGCAGGAUGACGGCCCUACGGGUUGUAAACUGCUUUUAUACGGGAAUAACGCGCCUUACGUGUAGGGCUUUGCAUGUACCGUAUGAAUAAGCACCGGCUAAUUCCGUGCCAGCAGCCGCGGUCAUACGGAGGGUUCGGGCGUUAUCCGGAUUUAUUGGGUUUAAAGGGAGCGUAGGCCGGAUGUCAAGCGUGCUGUGAAAUGUCCGGGCUCAACCCGGGCCUUGCAGCUGAAACUGGCGUGAUUGAGUCCGCGUAAAGCAGGCGGAAUGCGUGGUGUAGCGGGGAAAUGCUUAGAUAUGACGAAGAACCCCGAUGGCGAAGGCAGCAUGCUGCAGCGGAACUGACGCUGAGGCUCGAAAGCGCGGGUAUCGAACAGGAUUAGAUACCCUGGUAGUC